GUGGUUCAGUAAGACUGCCUAUGUCCACGGUGAGAUGAGAUCUGUUUCACUAUCAAUGGAAAAUAGGGUUACAGCAGCUUGUCCUCACUCCUCUCUCAGAUUGCGUUACAAAGAAAGAACCCUCGCUACAUAUUUAUAGCGAAACCCUAUAUAGGAAUUUUACCAAAAUACCCAGAUAGCUUGGAAAACAUUUUUC